rnacentral:lncRNA from 1 species
GGACGCAGGACUCGAGCACACGACCCCGUGAUCAUUACCUGAGCAGAAGGCAGAUGCUUAACUGAGCCGCCAGGCGCCCCUCACAUUAAUUUCUGAUACGUCUUUCAGGACACGAUUGCCGAAGUGUCUGAUGCUGAAGACUGAGAAGGCACCUCAGUGUCUGGAGUACAGGUGCUGCUUGUGUUAAUAAAGGGCUCUAAAUUUGAACUGAGAAAACCAAAGCGCAGGGAGCACCUGGCGUGAAGGAGCGCACGGAGUGACUGAGCUGGGCUGCUGGGGGAGCGUAACUGGGGCCGUACUGUCCCCAACUCCGCCAGGUCCCCCUGGAUCGAGUCUACCUCUUGGCCGGAAGUCCUCAGAGACCAGGACGGACCGUGUCUUCUGACUGCAGACAUCUGCCCCACGUCCGGGUCCACCUCCAAGAAGUAAAGAAGUGCUGUCGGGGGAGGAGAGCUGGAAGAGCAGACGGACGACGGGCAAGAUUCAGGUUCUCUACCCCCAGCUGCUCUGAACAGAGGCGCAGUCCGAGUCUGGGAAAGGAGG